UACCAGCACCCCGAGUGGUCGGGACGUUUAUUGGGCCUAAAGCAUCCGUAGCCGGUUCUACAAGUCUUCCGUUAAAUCCAACUGCUUAACAGGUGGGCUGCGGAAGAUACUAUAGAGCUAGGAGGCGGGAGAGGCAAGCGGUACUCGAUGGGUAGGGGUAAAAUCCGUUGAUCCAUUGAAGACCACCAGUGGCGAAGGCGGCUUGCCAGAACGCGCUCGACGGUGAGGGAUGAAAGCUGGGGGAGAAAACCGG
rnacentral:rRNA from 1 species